rnacentral:rRNA from 1 species
CACGUAGGGCGCAAGCGUUGUCCGGAAUUAUUGGGCGUAAAGAGCUCGUAGGCGGUCUGUUGCGUCCGCUGUGAAAACUUGGGGCUUAACCCUGAGCUUGCGGUCGAUACGGGCAUGACUGGAGUUCGGCAGGGGAGACUGGAAUUCCUGGUGUAGCGGUGGAAUGCGUAGAGAUCCGGAAGAACACCGGUGGCGAAGGCGGCCUGCUGGGACAGUGCUGACGCUGAGGCGCGACAGCGUGGGGAGCAAACAGG